CCAGACGGCCGGGCGAUCGCGGUCUCCGCAAGGGGGUCGAGGAAAGUCCGGGCUCCACCACGACAUGGCGGCGGGUAACGCCCGCCGGGGGCGACCCCAGGGAUAGCGCCACAGAAAGCAAACCUCCGCUCUUAGGAGUGGGAAGGGUGAAAGGGUGGGGUAAGAGCCCACCGCGUGCCUGGUAACAGGGACGGCAUGGCAAGCCCCGCCAGGAGCAAGACCGAAUAGGGACCGUGCGCUCUCCGCAAGGAGGGCAGGGCUGUCGUAGGCCUGGGCGGUCCGGGUAGGUCGCGAGAACCGUCCCGCGAGGGGCGGUCCAGAGGAAUGAUCGUCGCGUUCUGGGUUUCGGCCCGGGGCGGCACAGAACCCGGCUUACAGGCCGUCUGGUCCA
rnacentral:RNase_P_RNA from 1 species